GACGAACGCUGGCGGCGUGCUUAACACAUGCAAGUCGAACGAAGAGCGAUGGAAGCUUGCUUCUAUCAAUCUUAGUGGCGAACGGGUGAGUAACGCGUAAUCAACCUGCCCUUCAGAGGGGGACAACAGUUGGAAACGACUGCUAAUACCGCAUACGAUCUAACCUCGGCAUCGAGGAUGGAUGAAAGGUGGCCUCUAUUUAUAAGCUAUCACUGAAGGAGGGGAUUGCGUCUGAUUAGCUAGUUGGAGGGGUAACGGCCCACCAAGGCGAUGAUCAGUAGCCGGUCUGAGAGGAUGAACGGCCACAUUGGGACUGAGACACGGCCCAGACUCCUACGGGAGGCAGCAGUGGGGAAUCUUCCGCAAUGGACGAAAGUCCGACGGAGCAACGCCGCGUGAGUGAUGACGGCCUUCGGGUUGUAAAGCUCUGUUAAUCGGGACGAAAGGCCUUCUUGCGAAUAGUUAGAAGGAUUGACGGUACCGGAAUAGAAAGCCACGGCUAACUACGUG
rnacentral:rRNA from 1 species